rnacentral:ncRNA from 2 species
ACAACAAUGCUGGGGUGCCGUUUUGGCUGAGAUAAUACCCAUUGAACCUGGUCUAAUUAGUAUUAGCGUAGGGAGAUAUUGGAUAAUAACAG